CCCUUAGAUGUCCUGGGCCGCACGCGCGCUACACUGACAUGUUCAACAAGCCUCCUAGUUCGACAGGAUUUGGGAAAUCUUUGAACGCAUGUCGUGAUAGGGAUAGAUCAUUGCAAUUAUUGAUCUUGAACGAGGAAUUCCUAGUAAACGCGAGUCAUCAGCUCGCAUUGAUUACGUCCCUGCCCUUUGUACACACCGCCCGUCGCACCUACCGAUUGAAUGUUUCGGUGAAGAUUCCGGAUAGGACUUUUUUGAUUUAUUUCAAUUUUGUCUUAAAAGCUAUCUAAACCUCGACAUUUAGAGGAAGGUGAAGUCGUAACA
rnacentral:rRNA from 1 species